rnacentral:ncRNA from 1 species
CUAUAUUCCGAGGGGCGUGCCGUACGGCACUGAGAUAGCGGUGAGCUGGACCCUUGAACCUGAUCCGGGUGAUGCCGGCGUAGGAACGGAACAUGGGGCUUUC